rnacentral:rRNA from 1 species
GACGAACGCUGGCGGCGUGCUUAACACAUGCAAGUCGAACGGAAAGGCCCUGCUUUUGUGGGGUGCUCGAGUGGCGAACGGGUGAGUAACACGUGAGUAACCUGCCCUUGACUUUGGGAUAACUUCAGGAAACUGGGGCUAAUACCGGAUAGGAGCUCCUGCUGCAUGGUGGGGGUUGGAAAGUUUCGGCGGUUGGGGAUGGACUCGCGGCUUAUCAGCUUGUUGGUGGGGUAGUGGCUUACCAAGGCUUUGACGGGUAGCCGGCCUGAGAGGGUGACCGGCGAGGGUGGGGAGGGGAGCGGGCACAGAAGGAGGCGGGGGGGAGGAGAGGGGAAGAGGGCAAACGGGGGGGGAGGAGGAGGGAGGAGCGUCGCGGGGGGGAGGAGGGGUGGCGGGUGGCAGACGAGGGUAGACGAGGAAGAGGAGUGAGGGAUGGAAGUGGGAAAAGAAGCACCGGAAAACUGCGAGACAGCAGCUGCGGUAAUAAUCGGAAGAGAAAACGUCGGAAC